rnacentral:rRNA from 1 species
GACGAACGCUGGCGGCGUGCUUAACACAUGCAAGUCGAACGGAAAGGCCUGCUUUCCCUUGUGGAUUGCGGGUACUCGAGUGGCGAACGGGUGAGUAACACGUGAGUGAUCUGCCCCCAACUUGGGUAUAAGCCUGGGAAACUGGGUCUAAUUCCCGAUAGGACUGCAGGGUGUUUCCUGUGGUGGAAAACGAUUUUCUAGUGGUUGGGGAUGAGCUCGCGGCCUAUCGGCUUGUUGGUGGGGUAAUGGCCUACCAAGGCGGCGACGGGUAGCCGGCCUGAGAGGGUGGACGGCCACAUUGGGACUGAGAUACGGCCCAGACUCCUACGGGAGGCAGCAGUGGGGAAUAUUGCACAAUGGGCGGAAGCCUGAUGCAGCGACGCCGCGUGGGGGAUGACGGCCUUCGGGUUGUAAACUCCUUUCGACCGCGAGGAAGCCACCUGGUUGGAAGGGUGGUGACGGUAGUGGUAGAAGAAGCACCGGCUAACUACGUG